UACGGGGGGGGCAAGCGUUGUUCGGAAUUACUGGGCGUAAAGGGCUCGUAGGCGGCCAACUAAGUCGGAUGUGAAAUCCCCAGGCUUAACCUGGGAACUGCAUCCGAUACUGGAUGGCUUGAAUCCGGGAGAGGGAUGCAGAAUUCCAGGUGUAGCGGUGAAAUGCGUAGAUAUCUGGAGGAAUACCGGUGGCGAAGGCGGCAUCCUGGACCGGCAUUGACGCUGAUGAGCGAAAGCCAGGGGAGCAAACGGG
rnacentral:rRNA from 1 species